UACGGGGGGGCAAGCGUUGUUCGGAAUUACUGGGCGUAAAGGGCUCGUAGAUGGCCAAUUAAGUCAGACGUGAAAUCCCCAGGCUUAACCUGGGAACUGCGUCUGAUACUGGUUGGCUUGAAUUCGGGAGAGGGAUGCAGAAUUCCAGGUGUAGCGGUGAAAUGCGUAGAUAUCUGGAGGAAUACCGGUGGCGAAGGCGGCAUCCUGGACCGAGAUUGACACUGAGGAGCGAAAACCAGGGGAGCAAACGGG
rnacentral:rRNA from 1 species